rnacentral:lncRNA from 1 species
GUUUAGGGUUUCGAUUAUCGAAUUACGAGAAUCCGACCGUCGGAUAUCUCUCGGUUCUGCCUUGGAACCUUUAAAUUAACGAAUUGGUAUUAGUGGUAUAAUUUGGGUUGCAUCCAAGGAGAAGUGGAGAUGUAAUUAUGAGGAAUUGAUUUUAGGAAUCGUAUUAAUUUGUCGAAUAACUAUUCACGGAAUAUAAUUGUGUACAGGGCGAUGUACCGAGCUAUUGCUCGACGAAGGAACUCGUAUGCAUGGUCGCCUAAAUAGUAC